ensembl:lncRNA
CUCAGCCCGUCCCUUUCUCCACACUGUUACCGGGAGGGCACUGAAGACUCUUGCCCACUGCUCUCCAGGAGGACGGAGCGGCUGCAAUGGGAACAGAGAGGGAAGGUGCAGUGAUGCAGCUGGCUUCUGCUGGAGGUUGUGAGCAAGAAAUGCCAGAAGCUGCCCAACAGCGUGAAGCUCUCUGUUCUGGUAAGCGCAGUGUGGGUGCUUCCUGGCAGGUGGUGGAACCCCCCAGUGCUCCCAAGCCAGUUCUCUGUUCCCUGGGCUCUGCUCAGCACUUGAGCCCCUGUUUGUCCCCCAGCUCUUGGCUGAAGCUGAGGCUUCCCAGGGUGGUGCUGCUUGGCUGGGGGCUGCCCUCUGAAAGUGCGUACAUUCUCCCUCAGGUGGGGUGCAACACCCAGAGCCCAAUCCCCUCCAGCCUGCUUCCAGGGGUGCAAAGAGGAGCGGUACAUCUCUGGUGAACAGGACUUUUUAUUCUGCAGGUGUUCCUGCACAUAUGGCGGCAGCCUGGUGCUCACUUGAUCUUCAUCCACAUCUUCUUGCAGGAGAAGCCGCUGGGAGGACGAAGGCAACAACGGACGUUAAAGAAGAGCUUCCUGCAGAGGAAAAAAGAAAGGAGGUCCACUGUCUCCUGCAUAGCUGACGUGGCCUUGGUGCAAUGUAGGGUCUGUCUCUGCUCUCGUCUUCAUGCCCAUGUUCUGUCUGACGGCCAGGUAUCCGAGGCUGAGCUUCUGGCUGGCACUGCGCUUUGUCUCAAGGAUCUCCUCUUUCACAAGCUCCCUCGGUUCCAUUUUCUCAUUUCUAGGUUUAAAGAAGUAUAAGCACAAGUUAUUUGCUAGCAACUUCUGUCUGCUGCGGUUCUGCUUGUUUCUUUCAGCCCGCCCCUCCCGUAUUGGUUUUCUUUCAGCUGUCAGUUCCUACUUUGCCAAUACUGUUAGCACAUUUCUUUUAUUUUUGCCAUGGCUGAGAAGGGGUGUGAGCUGCACAGAAAUGAAAAGAUUAAUAUAACUGGGGGCAUGCAGUCCUACGGCUCUGGAGUGAGCAGCUCCAUGUUUGUGCAGCAUGUGGGAAAGCUGCAGUCUGGACGUCCUGAACGUGAACGCUGCAGCUCAGCUCAGUGUGUGUCAGCCUCUGUCUGCAAGCAAACCCUCCCCGGCCAAAGGCCGAAGGCCAAAGGCCAAAUCCCAAAUCCCAAAUCCCAAAUCCCCGCCUCCAUUGCUAACAUCAGAGCACAGCAAGCCGUACGUGUGCAGAAGCAUCCCAGAUUCCUAUUGCUCUGUAGCGGUGCGCUAAAGAGGGCCUCGGUCCUACAGCCUCACGGCAGGAACUUGGCAAACAAGGAGCUUCUCACGGGACUGCUCACUUGCAUCCACUGCCAUCGCAUCCACAGCCCGCAGCCCGCAGCCCGCAGCCGUCGGGUGAAGCCCUCAAGAGUACAACGGAGGUCGAGUGCUGAAAGCACGGGAGAGUUCCCGCAGCAACUGCUGCUAACAGCAGACGCUCCCAGCAACUCCAAGGAAGCCCUGAGAGCCCCGAGCCGUGCCCCAGGACCGCUUCCUCUCUCGAUUCACCGCCACCGCCACGGGAAAAGCAGACGGGAAAAGGGCACCGACGAAAGCUGCCGAUCGCGUUCACGACGGAGGCACUGCCGGCACUCGGGAGGACGGGAGAGCCCGGGGCUACUCGGCUCGAAGCGCUUCCCGCCCGCCCCGUUUCCC